UAACUAUGAUGGGGAUAAGAGUUAAUUAAAUCUUGUUAUCUUUCCUAAUACUCAUAGAAUGACUCAUUUUCAUUUUGUUUAAAAAUAGUGAUUUUCCUUCUAAAAGUCG
rfam:Vitis vinifera, whole genome shotgun sequence of line PN40024, unoriented chromosome 16, chr16